UACGGAGGGUGCAAACGUUGCUCGGAAUCAUUGGGCGUAAAGCGCACGUAGGCGGCUUGUUAAGUCGGAUGUGAAAGCCCUCGGCUCAACCGAGGAAGUGCAUACGAAACUGGCGAGCUUGAAUAUGGAAGAGGGUCGCGGAAUUCCCGGUGUAGAGGUGAAAUUCGUAGAUAUCGGGAGGAACACCAGUGGCGAAGGCGGCGACCUGGGCCAAUACUGACACUCAAGUGCGAAAGCGUGGGGAGCAAACAGG
rnacentral:rRNA from 1 species